AGAGAAAGGAGAGAUUCAGUGACAAGUUAUCAAUAUUUUCUAAAAGAAACCUAGCCAUUUAGUAAUAGAAGAAGGGUGUUGGGAAAAAGAGGCCGUGGAAUAAUAUUGGCGCCCCCAAUAAAUCCGUGAUCUGCUAAACAUCUUCUGGGUUAGAAAAUAGAAUUGAUCUGAAUUCCACAGCUGUGGCUUCUUCAAGAAGGACCUGAAGCCACCUCUCCGUUCAUCACCCACUGCCCUUCAGAACUCUUCCCUUGAAGUCUUUCCAAACAGAGAGUGCAGUGGCUCAUGCCUGUAAUCUCAACACGUUGGGAGACUGAGGUGGGC